AGCUCGCCUGGCUCACCGCCCUGCCUGCCUUGCCCACUCAGUCAGCCCCCAGUGCGGGGGUGUCCAGACUCUGUCACUAAUUAUGUCUUUUCACCCCCCCUCCUCCGCCACUAACUGAUCUAUAAUUUGGUACCCAAGUUUGAUUUUUCUCUUGCACUCUCUUUACUUCCUCUCCCUCCCCCGCUACUCCGCGUGAAACUGGAUCAAAAAUAUCAAAGGGGAUUACACUUUAACCCAGUGCCUUCCUGCGAGCACUCCUAAGGCCGCGACAAUGUUCUCCAGCCUUGUGUAUAUGGAUUUCAAAAGCUCUGUGUCUCCAAGUAACGCUUCAGCAUCCUUUGUGAUGGGAUCCAUUGUGUGUGAGCAUCAUCGUCAGUCUCUAAGACAAGUUUUUUUUUAACUUUCAAUAUUUGCGAAGAGAUUGCUAGAUCUCAGUCCAGAGCUGCUCUGGGUACAGAACUACUCCACUGAAGAGAUCGGUGAGCAGAGCAGCUGUAAAAUAUGGCCCAUAUUGAGGGCAUGUACUGUGUACUGAGGAGUGGGCAUUUAAACCAAUCUCCAUUGUAACAUAAUUGAUGAAAAGCACCUGCUGUCAGAUUCUCAGAUGGUAUAAAUCAGCAGACAUCUAUUGAUUUCAGUGGAGCUGCAGGAUGCUGAUUUGUACCAGCUGAGGAUCUGGCCCCUGAAUUUUUGUGAGUUCAGGUUCUGCAGACAGAUGAUUAUGAUCUGACAACACUGUAUUGCAACUCAUAUACUGCCACAUCAUGCCCAGAGAGUCCUGUGCUUUGGGAUCCCAUUCCGAAAGAGGGGGAGAAGCUUGGAUUCUGGUUAUGAUUCUUUAUAGUAAGAAGUAAGAAGAUAAACUUCUCUUGUUGCAUCUAUGCUUAAAUCCAGCCUUCCAACCAAGAGGUUAAAUUCUGUGUUCCUUAUUCAGACAAAACUCUCUUUGAGGUUUACGGAAUUAAGAACCACAGAAUUUGUCUAAGAGCUGUUGGAUUAUACCCCAUUUCUUACCUCAAAAACUUUUUACUUUCAUUUCUGGAUUUUCUUUUUGUAGAGAUUGUUUCCUGCACGAAAAUGUGUGAUGGUUUUGUGAUGUGGAAAAAUGUUUACUGGGACUCGUUUAAAAUGACAUAUGGUAUUCCUUGCCUUUGUGAUCUAAGCCAAAUUUGAACCCAGGUAUUCAUUCCUCAUUUGAACACAGACAUUAUCUUGUUCUACAAUCUAAUCACUUAUACUCUUGUAUAACUUGUGCUGGAAGCACACUCUGGUAUUUUGGCUCUGAAAUGAUUUCAUUGUUAGGCUGAGUGUGACACAGAUGGUAUUCUUAAAUGUAAAAUUCUUUUUAUGAUUCUUGCAAUUUCAUACUUAUUUCAUUAGCUCAUUUAUUUAUAUUAAAGGGACAUUAUCAACUUGAAAUCUGCUUAGUUUAAAAAAAAAAAAAAAGGUUGAGAGUAGUUUUAGGUACCUGCCUCACAAUGUGCCAGUUUUUGUGGUUUCGCUACCACAUUUUUUUAUUUUAAAAAUGUUUUUGUAUCCCUAGCUGCAGUGUGACAGAGUCACACAAACAACAAGGGGAAAGAGUCUCAUUUAAGUGAUUAUAGGUGAGAAGCAGUGAAACUGACUAUGCGCAAAAUGCUGUGAAAUGCACAAAGUAAAGAAAAUGAAGAAGAUAAAAAUAAUUUCUUUUUGCCAAUUUCUUUUAGUUUGACUAAUGUUAGGUGUUACUUGUAAUAGCAGUAGGGAAACAAUUUUCAGAUAGAAACGUGAUUUCUAUCCAAAGCUGUCUCUUUAGUACACAAAUAUAGUUAUUAAAUAAACAUUAAUUAUGAUAGCUGCAAUUACUCAUUCAGAUCAAUAAUCAGAACCAGGAGUGAACCAAACCAUAGCAACUUUAUUUUCCCAUUAGAUAUGGUAUGAUUUAAAAUAAAUUCAGAUAGCCCUAAUCAUUCAGCCCCAUAUGCUGGAAAUGAAAAGUCACCUUAAACCCGAUGCAGACUGUGAAAAAAUGGGAGAAGAGAUGUUCAAAAGGUACAGCAUAUGAGGACAGAUCCUCAUAUGGUGUAAAUUCGUGCUGCUCUCUUGAAGAAGUCAACAAAGCUAUGCUGAUUUACCCCAGUUGAGGUCCUGGCCUGUCAUUUUUAAGUCCCAGGUGUUAUGGUGAGUUUGUCCAUGGGGUCAUAUACUGAUCCUGUUCAUUAAGGUAAAGUUGUGAAUGUGAUAUUUUUCAUUUAAAUCAGGACAAGAGAAGUAAAUGCUGUCAGGAAAAAUCUAGUUUGAGGAUUUUGUUUUCCCGGAAACUGGGGUCUGUUUGCCUGAAUUGUAUGGGGUUUUUGUUUUGUCCUGUCUGUGUUCAGUGGGCUGAAUCCUCCUCUGACUGACAUCCCUUGCAACCCCACUAAUUUUGAUGUCUGACAGGUCUGUUUUAAUCUGUUUAAUCUGUUGGAACUCCCACAGCAGGAUCUGUAGAAGAUUUUUCUUUCUGUCCCCUGUCUGAGGUGCAGACUCUAUUGUCUGUGUUUUGGGGAGCAGGGUUCCACUGUGUUAGAAAAUCUUUUUGGUUCAGGCCCAAGGAAAAAGUGAUAAAGAAUUAAAAGGGAGGGACUAUAGCUACGGUUAGUGCUGAAUGCUGCUACUAUUGCGCCCUAUGAACUCAGCAAAUAUUUAGCCUCAUAGCAACAAGAAGCUUUUUUUUUUUAAUUUCCAAUGUUAAAGGGUAGAUUGUAUCUGGCCACUGCAUGUUUGCACAAGUGUAGGGGAGGGCAUGAAAAGUCUUCACUGCUCUCAUUCAGUGGCUGGGAACAACUGUCCCUAACAGCAGGGACAACUGCUCCCUUCUAGUGCUCCUGAGGCACUAGCUACCCCAAAAGGGAGGGGGAAAAGAGGAGAUAGGGUUAAGUUCCCCAUCCCUGCACAUACAUGCAAGCAAGGGCAUGCUGCAGCCCCUUAAAGGCUGUAGUGGAGAUAUGCUGUCCCUGUAGAACAAUGGUGAGCUUUACAAGAUGUUUUUCCUAGGUAAAGCACAAUGCCUCCUGUGCUCUCCCUGGGGAAAUAAAACUGUGCAAAGCCCUUUACGCAGGGUAGUGCCUAUCAGGUCCAGCAGCACUCUAGGACUGCAUUGGAAUGCACACUCAGGAGAGAGCUGAGCUCAAGUUGUGCUGGGGUUCAGCUGUAACUUUGGUAUUUCCUGAUGUUGCAGGGUUUUACUCUGAAGCCUGAACAUUCUUCUAACAGUUUUUAAAAAAAAUGAAUGAUGUUGUUAUACCUCCCCAACUGAGUAGAGCUAGCUGAAGCUCGAAAGGGGGUUCAGUCUAGAUGCACAUCCAUAUGUUUGGAUGCAUAUCUGAACCUUGUCUGAAGUGUCCACACUGCUUGUACUGGAAAAACUAGGCUAUAAGCGUGAUGAGAAUAGGCUUUCAUGCAAGAUGUUUAGUAUACAUUUGGGACAGAAAUAUUGCAAAACCAGCCUAUGUGGUCCUGCUGCCUUCAGUCUUGAGUGAAAUUAUUAAAAACAGAGGUGCAGAAAA